AAAAAUAAAGAAAAGUGGAAGACAGUAAGGUGUGUGUGAGUGUAUGUUGUAUGUGUUACUUUAUUUUAUUAUUGUUGUUAUUUAUUAUUAUUUUUUUUU
rnacentral:ribozyme from 1 species